CCUGGAUGUUGGCCAUUACCAUCUAGUAGCAAUACUCAGCCCACAACAGUUGUUCAUUUAUUUUAUGCUUGCACUAGUUAAUCUGUUUGUUUUGGUAUGAUUUUAAUGCUAUAGGCUAUGAGCAAUAGCAAGGGCCCAGCACAGUCUCUGUGCAAUUUAUGGAAGGCUCUCUAGCCACUGUCUCAAAUUCCUGUGUGCUGUUUCAACUCUUCCCUCUUUCAAGUAUUUAUAUUAACAAAUCGUUUCAUCUUUUCAACUCAUUUCACAAAUAAACCACCUUUUUCCACACAAAACCUUUGUAUCCUGCCUUUUGAUAUGCUUUUCACCAUUCAAAAUAACAUAGAUUCUUUUCUCUGAUGUAGUAAGGGAAGAAAAGUUCCUAAAAUCAGAGAAGAAAAGCUGUGAAGUAUGCAGGGGUUGUGUUUCUUGCCAUGGAGAUCACAUACCUAUGAAUGUUUGCAGCUGCCAGCUUCCAGUGACAGCUGCUGAAAGAGAAGGUGGUGUCGUCAAGGGGAUGGCUGCACCCAGAACCUUGCAGCACAGGCAACCAGGGAGAGAUCUGAACUAAACUUCAAAAAUUAAUGCUCUAGUAUUUAGGAGUAGGACCCAGAAUCCAAAGCCAAAGAUUUACAAGUGGGCCUUUUUGAUUUAAUAACACAUUA